rnacentral:rRNA from 1 species
AAUAGAUACCCCGGUAGUCCACGCCGUAAACGAUGAGUGCUAAGUGUUAGGGGGUUUCCGCCCCUUAGUGCUGCAGCUAACGCAUUAAGCACUCCGCCUGGGGAGUACGGCCGCAAGGCUGAAACUCAAAGGAAUUGACGGGGGCCCGCACAAGCGGUGGAGCAUGUGGUUUAAUUCGAAGCAACGCGAAGAACCUUACCAGGUCUUGACAUCCUCUGACAAUCCUAGAGAUAGGACGUUUCCCUUCGGGGAACAGAGUGACAGGUGGUGCAUGGUUGUCGUCAGCUCGUGUCGUGAGAUGUUGGGUUAAGUCCCGCAACGAGCGCAACCCUUGAUCUUAGUUGCCAGCAUUCAGUUGGGCACUCUAAGGUGACUGCCGGUGACAAACCGGAGGAAGGUGGGGAUGACGUCAAAUCAUCAUGCCCCUUAUGACCUGGGCUACACACGUGCUACAAUGGAUGGUACAAAGGGCUGCAAGACCGCGAGGUUUAGCCAAUCCCAUAAAACCAUUCUCAGUUCGGAUUGCAGG